AGAGUUUGAUCCUGGCUCAGGACGAACGCUGGCGGCGUGCUUAACACAUGCAAGUCUACGAGAAAGAGGUAGCAAUAUCUCAAGUAAAGUGGCGCAAGGGUGAGUAAUAUGUAAGUAAUCUACCUAUGGGUUCGGAAUAACGUCGAGAAAUCGGCGCUAAUACCGAAUAAUGCAGCGGCAUCGCAUGAUGAUGUUGUUAAAGUUGUCCCGACCUGUCGGGAUAACUCCUAUAGAUGAGCUUGCAUCUGAUUAGCUAGUUGGUAGGGUAAUUGCCUACCAAGGCUACGAUCAGUAGCUGGUCUGAGAGGAUGAUCAGCCACACUGGAACUGAGACACGGUCCAGACUCCUACGGGAGGCAGCAGUGAGGAAUAUUGGGCAAUGGACGGAAGUCUGACCCAGCAACGCCGCGUGGAGGAUGAAUGCCGUAAGGUUGUAAACUCCUUUUGAAGGGGACGAAU
rnacentral:rRNA from 1 species